GAUGAAGAACGUAGCGAAAUGCGAUAAGUAGUGUGAAUUGCAGAAUUCCGUGAAACAUCGAAUCUUUGAACGCACAUUGCGCCUUCUGGUAUUCCGGAAGGCAUGCCUGUUCGAGAGUCAUUAACAACCGUUUCGAUCCCUUUCUUUCAGAAAUUACAAAGAGGAAAAGGGUUUGGUUAUGGUGGAGGAGGGAAAGGGAGCGUUUAGCCUGUAAAAAAAGAGGCUGUGUUCCGCCUCCCCCCCAAAAUUGUACAGGCGGUCGUGUGCGCCCACGCAUCGAGGUGUUGUAAAAGCUGCCACGGCACUUUUCACCUGUGCAGUGCGAGAUUGGCCAGCCGGUUUAAAAACCCCUCCAAACAAUCAAAGGUUGACCUCGGAUCAGGUAGGGGUACCCGCUGAACUUAAGCAUAUCAAUAAGCGGAGGA
rnacentral:misc_RNA from 1 species